GAGAAGAGGAGAAGAAGAAAGGGCUUUCUCUUUCUCCUGCUGAUUCUAUCUGUGUCCAAAGGAAGAAAUUCACCAUUCACAUAUGUCAUUGUUGACAACCAAAAGUGAGUGUGUUAAUCUUUGCAAUCUGUGGGGAAUUUUAUGAGGUUCUACCAUACAUAUUACUAUUAUCUUGAAGGGUCGUUGUUCUAUGAUGUUCCAGAAAAACUCGUACAUGCAUUUCCACUCAAGGAUAUCCACACAAAUCAAAAUUGUCUUCAGCCCUUGAUGGAGUAAAUAUUGUCUACUUAGAUGGAAGAUUGCAUGAGACUGCUUUUCUUGUAGCGCAAGAGGUAUACCCAUCAUCUACACUUGAUCAAAGUCAUUGAAGUAGAAGGCUGUGGAUUCUGCAUUGAUCGACAUUGAAGCAUUGCUGGAUUUGAAGGCUUAUUUGGGUGCAUCGAUCAUACUUAAGUAGUAUUGAUUAAGUAGUAUAUAUUUUCAUGAUUUAUUUAUUUAUUUAUUUUUAUUUUUUUGUAUGAUAAUAGUUCAUUGUUGGAAGUACAAUGGACAUGACCAUAAUUUUGAUGUUUAAAUAUAUUUUCAAUUU